rnacentral:tRNA from 1 species
AUUUAAAUAGCUUAAAUAUAGAGCAUAACGUUGAAGGUGUUAAGGUGAUUAUUGUGAAUCUUUAGAUA